rnacentral:rRNA from 1 species
ACCCGACUGCUAUCGGAUUGGGAUUUAGCCAUGUUAGUUGUACGUUCCUUGGCUACAAGGGACGUAGCGUACGGCUCAGUAACACGUAGUCAACCUGCCCUGGAGACGUGGACAAACCCGGGAAACUGGGGCCUAUCCGCGAUAGACGACCACAUCUGGAAGGAGUGGUCGUCCAAAGGGCGGCACGGGUAUGCUCCGUGCCUUUCGCUCCAGGAUGGGACUGCGGCCGAUCAGGCUGUUGGCGGGGUAAUGGCCCACCAAACCUGUAACCGGUACGGGCUUUGAGAGAAGGAGCCCGGAGAUGGACACUGAGACAAGGGUCCAGGCCCUACGGGGCGCAUCAGGCGCGAAAACUUCGCAAUGCGCGAAAGCGUGACGAGGCUAGUCCGAGUGCUUCCUGCUAAAGGGAGCUUUUCUCGGCUGUAAAUAGGCCGGGGAAUAAGGGGAGGGCAAGUCUGGUGUCAGCCGCCGCGGUAAUACCAGCUCCUCGAGUGGUCGGGACGAUUAUUGGGCCUAAAGCACCCGUAGCCUGUUCUGUAAGUCCUCUGUUAAAUCCAGUCGCUCAACGGCUGGCCCGCAGAGGAUACUGCAAGACUAGGAGGCGGGAGAGGCGGACGGUACUCCGCGUGUAGGGGUAAAAUCCUUUGAUCCGCGGAAGACCACCAGUGGCGAAGGCGGUCCGCCAGAACGCGCUCGACGGUGAGGGGUGAAAGCUGGGGGAGCGAACCGGAUUAGAUACCCGGGUAGUCCCAGCCGUAAACGAUGCGAGCUAGAUGAUUCGUUCGCAGUUCGCGAACGAAGUGUCGCAGGAAAGCCGUUAAGCUCGCCGCCUGGGGAGUACGGUCGCAAGGCUGAAUCGUAGAG